rnacentral:misc_RNA from 1 species
GAAACCGAUAGGAAUCGGUUUCUAUACAGAAUUUAAUUUUUAGUAAAUAAAAUGGAAAUUAUAUGAAUGUUGAAACCGAUACGAAUCGGUUUCUAAAUAUAAAUAGAUAAUACUUUUAUUUUGAAACCGAAUGAAAUCGGUUUCUAAAUUAAAGUGAAAGAAAUUAGGAACCGAUAUAUUCGGUUUCUAAUAUGACAAAUAUUAGAAACGGAAAAUUAUUCGGUUUCAAAAAUCGGUUUGUAAUCGGUUUAUAAACAGUUGCUAAAUUUGCCAUCAAAAUGUUCUUCAUAAUUUAGAAACCGACGAGUUUCCGUUUCUAAUUUCGGUUUCUAAUCAGUUGCUAUUUGGUUUUUAAUGUAUUUAAGUUGUUCUACCAGAUUUCCGUUUCAAAAUCCGUUUCAAAUUAUAAACCGAUAUAAAUCCGUUUCUAAAUUCGGUUUCUAUUCUGAUAUUUUCUUGUAGUUAACGUCGUUUUAUGUGAUAAAGGUGGAUGCUGUG